UGAGUACGAGAUGCUACGGCAUCGAAGCAGUCUAUGUCAUACUUCCAAGAAAAGCUUGCACUGUCAUAAACAAAGAAUGCCUGUACCAUAACCGACACAGGUGGGUAGGUAGAGUAUACUAAGGGGCGCGAGAUAACUCUCUCUAAGGAACUCGGCAAAAUGACUCCGUAACUUCGGGAGAAGGAGUGCCUUAUUUCUAAGGUUGCAAUAACAAGAUCCAAGCAACUGUUUACCAAAAACACAGGUCUCCGCUAAGUCGUAAGACGAUGUAUGGGGGCUGACGCCUGCCCAGUGCCAGAAGGUUAAAGAAGUUGGUUAGCAUUAGCGAAGCUGAUAACUGAAGCCCUGGUGAACGGCGGCCGUAACGAUAACGGUCCUAAGGUAGCGAAAUUCCUUGUCGGGUAAGUUCCGACCCGCACGAAAGGCGUAAUGAUUUGGAUACUGUCUCGGAGAGGGGCUCGGUGAAAUAGACUUGUCUGUGAAGAUGCGGACUACCUGCACCUGGACAGAAAGACCCUAUGAAGCUUUACUGUAACUUGAGAUUGAAAUUGGACUUUAUUUGCGCAGUAUAGGUGGGAGGCGUUGAGAAUAAUCUUGCGGGAUUGUUGGAGCCAUCAGUGAGAUACCACUCUUGUAAUGUUAGAUUUCUAACUUUGUAUCAUUAUCUGGUCAAAGAACAGUUUCAGGCGGGCAGUUUGACUGGGGCGGUCGCCUCCCAAAGGGUAACGGAGGCGCACAAAGGUUUCCUCUGAACGGGUAGAAAUCGUAUCUAGAGUGUAAAGGCAUAAGGAAGCUUGACUGUGAGACCUACAAGUCGAGCAGGGACGAAAGUCGGUCUUAGUGAUCUGACGGUGCUGAGUGGAAAGGCCGUCACUCAACGGAUAAAAGUUACUCUAGGAUAACAGGCUGAUCUCCCCCAAGAGUUCACAUCGACGGGGAGGUUUGGCACCUCGAUGUCGGCUCAUCGCAUCCUGGGGCGGUAGUCCGUCCCAAGGGUUGGGCUGUUCGCCCAUGAAAGCGGUACGCGAGCUGGGUUCAGAACGUCGUGAGACAGUUCGGUCCAUAUCCGGUGUAGGCGUUAGAAUAUUGAGAGGAGCCUUCUCUAGUACGAGAGGACCGAGAAGGACAUACCUCUGGUGUACCAGUUAUCGUGCCAACGGUAAACGCUGGGUAGCUAUGUAUGGAGUGGAUAACCGCUGAAAGCAUCUAAGUGGGAAGCCCACCUCAAGAUAAGUAUUCUCA
rnacentral:rRNA from 1 species